rnacentral:rRNA from 1 species
UGCAGUCGACGGAAACGAUGGGAGCUUGCUCUCAGGCGUCGAGUGGCGGACGGGUGAGUAAUACAUAGGAAUCUGCCCAGUAGCGGGGGACAACUUGGGGAAACUCAAGCUAAUACCGCAUACGCCCUACGGGGGAAAGCAGGGGAUCUUCGGACCUUGCACUAUUGGAUGAGCCUAUGUCAGAUUAGCUUGUUGGUGGGGUAACGGCCUACCAAGGCGACGAUCUGUAGCUGGUCUGAGAGGACGAUCAGCCACACUGGGACUGAGACACGGCCCAGACUCCUACGGGAGGCAGCAGUGGGGAAUAUUGCACAAUGGGCGAAAGCCUGAUGCAGCAAUGCCGCGUGUGUGAAGAAGGCCUGCGGGUUGUAAAGCACUUUCAGUAGGGAGGAAACAGUUGCGGGUUAAUAUCCCGCGACCUUGACGUUACCUACAGAAGAAGCACCGGCUAACUCUGUGCCAGCAGCCGCGGUAAUACG